CCUUCCGGGCCGCGGAGGGGAACUCCGUGCGGGGAGUUGUACUCUGCCCCCCUGUGGCGGGAGGUGCCGCCUGAGGGUGCCCUGGGGGCCAUUUUGUGCGCUGUGGGGCGCUGGGGCUGUCCUUGUCAUCCCUCGGGGGAUCUGGCGCCUGGCUAGCGUAACUGGAACACACAAAUCCUACACGGUGAUACACGAGUUAACUUCACCAGUGCUAUCAGUUAGCAUGCGAUUAUCACUCUAAAAGAAAGAAAAAGGUCACAUAUAUUACAAGGUCCCAGAACAGUUGCUGGAUUUUCCACAGAUGCAUAUGCCCCAGCUGUAAGCCUGAUUUCUGCUUGCAUUUACAAAGUAUGUCCUGAGGAUGAAGAAGCUGCACAUACUGUAAAGCAAAUUCAGUGAAUUAUAUAUCCUGCUGUGUUCAGGUGUGUAAUUACAGUGUUAAUAAAAAGAAGCCUCAGAAGAGCCAUCAAGCUUGCCAUGUGGGAAUCCUGCAGAAGUUAGGAGCCUGCUCGGUUAACUCAGGCUUCUGCACAGCCUCUGUGCAGCAGGGUUGCUUGUCUGUGGUGCUGCUUUGUGGCCAUUGCAGAAAGGAUGUGGGACAUUCUGGUCCUCUGGUCUUGUGACAAGUGUUAUAUUCCAAGGAAUGCUGUUGUCUCUGGCAGUCACACAGAUGUGCAUUUCUCCUUUUGAGGGACAACUUGGAAGAGCAAGAAGCGUGCCGGUAACACCCUUGGGUGACAACAUCUCUGCAAUGAGUACCAAGCAAAUGAUUUUGCAUUCUGGUGAUCAUUAGUUUUAUACCGUGACACUGAUACAGCACAGCAGCUUGUACACAGAACAAAGCAAAGAUUGAGGUUGCAUGCCAUGUUCCAGUGUGUCUCUAGCCCUGUCAGUGACUGCCUGCUGCUUUCUGGCAAGUAGAUAAGCCACAGAUCCCAAGCUUCAUCCUUAUAAUUCUUAAAGAUGCAAUUGACGAAACCUGGUAAAGAUGCCAGUAAUGCCAUGGAAGGAUCUGAGAGAACAAGGAGAGAAGUGGGAAUAGCUGUAAAGGAGGCUAUCCACAGAAAGCUGUGAAGAAAUGAGACUGAAAAGGUGUGAGAGUGACCUGCUCUGAUGGACCUGCUGUUCCAGGACAUGCUACACUCCACCGGCUUUCUUCCUUUCAGUUGAAUGCAAACAUACAGAAAGCACAUUACAGUGAAACAUGCUGAAGUAAAUUUGGAAGAGAAUUCUGUGCAAUAUUCUGUCCUUUUUUGUAAGUUCUUCUAUUACAACAGUGAUCCAGAAUGAUGAAAUUCUAUGGAAAUGUUAAUAAAAGCCAGAAAGAUUC